CGCUCAAAGGAGAAAGUUUCUCAGUGAGGAAGGCUCAUACUCCGAUUCAUCUUUCUUCCUAACAGUGAUGAAGAACUUGCUGAGAUAAUCUUCAAGGACAGGUGGCUCAAUCUCUUCAAUGGCCCUAGCCUCGCCUUCCUGCGCCAGAAACUGCUUUAAAAGAUUCAGGUAAACAUCACAGUCAAGGUGUUUAAAGAAAGAGAAACAGAGUAUAUUACUGGGUUGGCUUGAAAGCCCACACCAAUAAAGGAAGUAGUAGUUGACGACGUAACUGGACAAAUGAACCUUAGUCUGGGACGAACAAAUUCCAUAUAUCUUGAUGGGUGAGGGCUACAAACUGAAGCACAUACAACUUCGUGAAUAUGGAAAAAAAUACCUAACCACUUCAAAAGAUUCGCACAUCACACCAUGUAGUAGCAUAGGUGACGUUUGUUCGUCUGAUGAUGACACUCUUACAGCUGAAAUUAACUUGGUCACUAUC